AAUAUUCAGAGUGUUCGAGGGGACAGUCUCAUCUCGGCACUUGAGGGAAGCUUGAAGAUCAUCAACCACCAUCCCUACUUCAAAUGGAGUUACAAAGCAUAGACAGAUUCUCAGAGAGUAGUCGUCCACAGGUGCAUCAGGAGGUGGUGACGGUGAGAG